CUUAAAGGAAUUGGCGGAAGGGCACAACCAGAAAUGGAGCAUGCGGCUUAAUUUGACUCAACACGGGAAAGCUUACCCGGCCCGGAUGCAGGAAGGAUUGACAGAUUAAGAGCUCUUUCUUGAUUCUGCAGGUUGUGGUGCAUGGCCGUUCUUCGAUGGUGGAGCGAUUUGUCUGCUUAAUUGCGUUAACGAUCGAGACCCUAGCCUACUAAAUAGACGCCCCGGUCCUACACGCCGGGCGGUCUUCUUAGAGGGACAAGCGGCGUCUAGCCGCACGAGACAGGGCAAUAACAGGUCUUGAAUGCCCUUAGAUGUCCGGGGCCGCACGCGCGCUACAUUGAAGGGGACAGCGUGUGCUUUCCCGCCCUGACAAGGGUGGGUAACCCGUUGAAACCCCUUCGUGCUGGGGAUUGCCCUUUGUAAUUCUCGGGCAUGAACGAGGAAUUCCCAGUAAGCGUGGGUCAUCAGCCCGCGUUGACUAAGUCCCUGCCCUUUGCACACACCGCCCGUCGCUGCUAUCGAUGAAUGCUUUAGUGAGGUCUUCGGACUGGCGCCCGGUGUGGUCUCAGGAUCGUGCCGUGUGCCGGAAAGAUGAUCGAACUUGAACAUUUAGAGAAAGCAAAAGUCGUAACAAGGUUGCC
rnacentral:rRNA from 1 species